UACGGGAGGCAGCAGUGGGGAAUAUUGGACAAUGGGGGCAACCCUGAUCCAGCCAUGCCGCGUGAGUGAUGAAGGCCCUAGGGUUGUAAAGCUCUUUUGUGCGGGAAGAUAAUGACGGUACCGCAAGAAUAAGCCCCGGCUAACUUCGUGCCAGCAGCCGCGGU
rnacentral:rRNA from 1 species